rnacentral:lncRNA from 1 species
AAAUAUUUGGUGUUUCUAUCUCCAUCUGAGUGCCAAGCAACUAUAGAUUUCUCCCUCCGAAAUUUUUCUUCUCCAUUUAGGGCAUUUAUAAGGCAAUUUGAGCUGCUUUGUGUUGCUCCAUCAUUGAAUCAUAAAUACCUAGAAAAUCAAUGUUAGAUUGAAUAUUAGACAAUUGCUGCUCAGCUUCCUUAACCAAGUUGUGAACAUUACCAAAAACUAUUUUUGUUCCAAAUCUUCAAUUUUUGCUUUAAAAUUUUUAGCUUUGGUUUAAAACAAACAUAGGGCAACCAACUAUAUUGAUAUUCCAUGCUUCUUGAAUUAUUCCUUUACAAUCCUCAUGUUGAAUCCACAUUUGCAUAAAUUUAAAUCGAGGCAUGAAUCUAUGCUGAGAAUUCUCAAAUUCAAGUAAAAGAGGGAAGUGAUCUGAUUUAUGCUUAAUUAAAGUUGAAACAUGAAGAGAGCUGCACAAAUCAAUCCAAGAUUGGUUACAAAUGUCCCUGUCUAAUCUUCUCUCAGUAUGCAUGAGGCCCCUUCUUCCAUUAGACCAAGUGAACUGCACAUCUCUUGUUGGAAAGUGAAUGAAAUUAUUUGUAUCAAACCAGUCAGGAAACUCAUUCAUAAGGCCUCUAGCAUGAGGAGUGGCACCUCUAGGCUCAUGAGAAACUAUAAUAGAGUGAAAAUCACCUAUUGAACACCAAGGAAGGUUUAGUUGUGUUUAAAGAUGUCUUUUAAGAAUGUGGUUAGUUGAUGCAUAGAUGGUCGAUAUACCAAAGGUUUGGUUAUUAUCUACAAUGGUGAAGGUUACUUGUUGGUUAUCAUAAGAAAUUAUGUCAGGGUUCAAGCUAUUGGAGUAGAAGCACCAAAGAUUAGGGAUAAGGUCAUCUCUAUGAUUAAAGGCAAAAGGUUUAAAAUGUAAUCUAUGAAACCAAUUUCUAGGGAAAUGAUCAAAUAGCAUCCAAGGUUCAGCAAUGAAGAUAAAGUUAGGUUUAUGUGCUAAUUGAGGUUUUUAAGAGCUAGUCUUGAGGGGAAGUUAGUUAUCCCUCUAAUGUUCCAAAAUAAACACUUCAUUUGAAAUGUUUAGAUGAAACCUUAGAUCUUGUAAGGUAAGAUGUCUUGACUUUUGAAGGUAAAGCGUUAUGUGUUUUUUUUCCUAAGUGAUUUUCUAGUAACAAGUUGAAAACAUGAUCUUUCUAUAUUAGCUUGUACACCUCUUUAUCGAUUUGAUGAUCUAUGUCUGCUUCAGCUGCUAGAGAAUCAUUGAGUGUUGCUUGUUGAUUCCUAAUCUUCUCCUCAUCUGCAUCUACAAGAUUGGACCAAGAUUCAUUUAGAAAUUGCAUAUCUUUCUAUAUUCUAUAUGGUGUAGGCUGGAUGGUAUCAAGGUUCUCCAUUUCUAGUCUUUGUGUAGAGUCUACAAACUCAUAUGCUUGUGAGCUUUGAUCCUCCAAAUCAGAGUCAUUCACAGGGUGAUCUGCAAUUCCUUCAUUUACUUCACCUUCUAUUCCCCUACUUUCUCUGCUUCCAGGAGUUGAAAUCAUGAUUCCAAUAUCCUGAUUCUCCUGAUUGUGCUCUAAAAUGUUAGUAGCCUUAUUAUUCAAAUGAGAGAUGUUAUCAACAUCUUUCUGCAGGGAAACAUUUAUGUCUCCUUCUUCAAUCUCCAAAUCUAAAACUGCCAUAUCCUUGGUGAUCCAUUUCUUCUUCUGUUGUUGCACAUCAAUGGGCUGCUUCUUUGCAUCUUUGUCCACAGCAUCAACAUUUUCAACAGCUAUUUGCAUCUUAUGUUGUCUGUCUGUUUCUGGCUUAUUUGCUUUCCUACAAAUCAUAGCAUUAUGCCUCACCAUCUUUCAAAAACCACAAAAUUCAGGUAAGAUCUCAUAUUCAAACUCACAAAGAAGGAAAAACCCUUCCUUUCAACCAAAACUUCAAAUUUCAGAUCCUUUGCUAGGUCAAUGUCCACCAAAACCAUAGCAAAGUGACCAAAGGUUCGUUCUAUGGUUGGCUUGCUUGUAAUAGAAUCAACAUAAACAGGUGUUCCCACACUGCUUUCUAUACAAAAAUAAUCAUCUUUCUCCAAUAUUCUUGAGCUAAGCCAUGGAUUUUCAGCCAAACCUGAACAUAGGUGUUAGUUUUCAAGCUACGGUUAAAGUCAUUAGUCCAUGGAAAAAGUUGCAAAAAGCCAGAGUUUAAAAGCCAUGAACUAACAUAUCUCACUCUUCUAGCAUCUUCAAUAGAAGAGAAAACAAACUCAUAAAAACCCUUCCCUAAGGAGGUUAUUCCCCAUGGGGAUAGAUCCUUCCAAAUCGGUUUUAACUUCUUUUUCAAGGCAACAACAGUUAAAGGGGAAGAACCCUUAGGCCAUAUGACUCUUGCAUGUAAAUUAUUUUUACAUGUAUACAACCCUAGAUCAUAUUCAUCAUCGGGGAUUUAUUAGCUGUUAUUUGCACCAGCCUCAAUUAAUGUGGUCAACAAUAGUUGACUUUUACUCUUGCAGGAAUCGAAGUAUUUUCUUCAAACAAAGGAGUUCGACGAGAUGUUGGAUUUAGCGUAGAGAGUCUCAAAGCAUUGAAGUUCGACAAGUGACCGAGCAAGAAGCAAAGUCGUCGAAGUCAAGCAAUUGCCUUUGGAGCGGAAAGAUUCAAAUUUUAAAAGAGAAGUGGUUUCCUCAAGGAAGAACAUGGGAGACAAGCGGUUGUCUAAAUGGAAGGAGUGUUGAUCGUGGGAUUAGUUUCUUUCCACUUAUUUCCUAUGUAUAAAUAAUAGUUUCCCAUAGGGAAAACAGGUCGCAAAUCGUAUAUACAUAAUUCUAAAACACUCGAAGUACCGGCGCAAGAGAAAAGAGUCUUAAAGAAUGUAUGUAAAGGAUUUGUCGAACCACUUUUAUUUUUAAUGCACUUGCAUUUGUACUUUUUUCUUUUCUUUAAGUUUCUGCAAUUUCAACUUAAUGUUUUAAAACAUGUCGAAAGACGCCACAUGGUCUCGUUCCGUUCGUUAAGCAACCUAUGAAAGCGCAACAACAAAAUGCACAACAUGUCCUAGGAUCUCUGGUUUCGUCCUUCUUGUUAUAAUCAAAAUCAGUCGGUAUUUGUUUACCAAAAACACUGCUAAACAUGGUCGAAAUAGAGAACUUAUCUCCCUUAAGUGUCGGUUUAGGCAGCUGGCUAGAGGGUGUAUCACAAACAUUGGAUAAAACUUGCGCGAAGGUUUUUUGUGCAGAGGGUUGAGUUUUUGUUUUUGAUUGUGGUGCGAUCUUUGCAGAUUCAGAAUCAUCUAAACAUUUCUAAGGGAUUGUGAAUGGUUUUGAGGCUAAAGGAGGUGGAACAGGCAUGGUGGUGGAAAGGGUUGGUGAAGGCAUAAAGGCGGUGAUCAACUGUGUUAUUCUCCAGAGCAAAUAUCAAGUCCCAUUUUUCACGUGCCAUAUCUUUUUAUCAUGUGGUAUAUGAAUUUUCUCGUUGUGGUUGCCUACGUAGCCGGUGAUAUGCAUUUGGACAUCAUUUUCAUGGCAUAACAUAUGCAUUUCUGUGUGGUGCCUAAGUGGCCAGUGAUCUUUACUUCUUUGUGGUUCCUUAGUGGUCGGUGAUUUUUACUUCUUUGUGGUGUCUUAGUGGUCAGUGAUUUUUUCCUUUUUUAUGGUUUCUUAGUGGUCGGUGAUAUUAUAUCUGGAUCAUGUAGUAAUUAAGAGCAUACAACUUAUGCAUAAUUUCAUUAGAGUUUGUUAUACAUUUGUGAUUUAAUAAUUGACUAAACUCAUUUAUAGCAAAAGAGAUUUGUAUGGACUUAUCUUAAAGUAUAUGACUUGAUUUUACUUUUAUUUAUUUUUUAUCGAGAAAUUUUGAUACUAUCUACUUUGUGGCAUUGUUAUUGUGCUUUGAGUAUGAACCAAUUUGGAUAAGGAAAUUGACCAUUAAAUGAAUAUAAUGUUGUAGAUACCAAAGUGGAAAUUUGAUGCUUGAUGUGUGAAGAAAUGCGUACCGGGAAAAUUGAGUUUUUCAAAGAAAAAAAAUUAGUUUUUAUUGAGUUGUAAUUGUAAUUUAAACUAUCAUUGAAUUAUUGUUAUUUUUUUUAGUCAACGAAUUUGAAAAUGCAGAUGUGGAUUUAUUCUGUUAUGAAAUAAUCGAUUUUAAAGGAAAUUUUGUUAUUAGUUUAUUUUAAUAGUUUGCAUAUAGAUAUAUUCUCUCUUAAGUUUUUUUUUCUAAUAGUGAAUCAAAAAAAUAAAUAUAGUCUCAUUUUUUAUAAAUGAAUAUUUUUAAGUAAUGUUUUGGAUUAAAAAUCUGGGAUGUUACACUUAACAUUCCAAUAAUUGGGUUGUUACAACAUCUCCAAUGUAGACAACAACUUGAGGGUCAAAUCUAGUACCACAACAAAAGUCAAAUUUCAUUCCCUAAAAGGUGUCAUAAGUUGUACGAAUAAAGUUUCAUCUUGCAUAUCUUCUAAACAAGCAUUUUAUAAUAAUUAGCAAUAAUAAUUUCUUCUUAGAAGAUGGAAUUUAAAUGAUGGACUCCCUAAUCAAAAUAUAAUUUGAAAUGUUUGGAAAAUUAAAAGUGAUACAAUUUUGAUAGGUGGGGUUGGACAAAAAGCUCGAUAUGCCUUAAAUGGAGGAGCAAAAUCAAUAAAUGCAAAAUUAAGAAAGAAUAAAACAAUCUAAUUAUUAUAUUAUUUAGUGUUUUGUUUCAUUUCAUUACCAAUAUCUUUGAGUACAAAGUUAUAAUUGCAAGGACCGUUGAAAUUAUAAGAAGAGAAAUAUAAAAAGACAAUUAUUGGGUUCUCCAAGAUUAACUAAAUGAAAACUAGAAAAUAUUAUAGUAUAAGGUAGUAUUUCAUAUAUUUAUUGCUAUUAUAAGAGCACAUUCUUCCAUUCAUGAUGUAAGUGUACUCUUUUUAGGUUGGAACUCAUGUAAUCGAGCUAAUCUACACCAGUUAUUAACACACUCAUAUUGACGAAUAUAAUCACUCUUUGGACAAUCAUCAGUAGUUUCACAUUUUACAAAUGCUGUAAUGAAAAUUGAGUAAAAUAGUAUUACUAUAAAUAAAUAAAAUUAUGCAUUAACUACAAACAAAAGAAGGAAAAUUGAAAAGGUAGAAGAGAUAACUCACCAUCAACAUUCUUUGGAACAAGAAAUAGAGUAACCAAUAAAAUAAUAACAAAAGCAAACGUGAGAGUAUUAAACAUAUUUUUAUCUCUUUUCAAGUAAAAAGUAGAAUAUGAUUUAAUGAUUUUAUAGUGAUUAAAGUGUGUGUUAUGCUUAAAACAAUUAAAAGUUUUAAUAACUUAAUGAGUUGUUGAAAACAUCCUUACAUUUAUAUAUAAUAAAUGUCUCUUAGGUAGAUCAAGGUGUUGUGUUGGUCACUUCACCACACCUAAUAGAUGGGUAACAUAAAAAAUAAAAACUUGGUCAUCAUUUUAGAUUAUUUUUUAAUUAAAUUUUCAAUAUUUGAUAAUUUAAAGGGGAAAAUUAUGGUAUUUGGCAUGCAUGUACUUGACAAGAGCUACAUAACUAAGGAUCAUGUUAACAAGAUUCUUAAAAGUUUACCGGCCAAGUGGAGACGUAAGCUUACUACCAUUCAGGAAGCUACAGAUCUGAACAAGCUAGGAUCGGAAUCCCUCAUUAGCAACAUGGAAUUCAAUCAUGAUGAGGCUAAACCUAAAUCCAAGUCUAUAAUGCUCAAAUCCAAAGGCAAAAAUGGUCAAAGGUCUGCAGGCUGAAGAUGAAGCUCCAAAGGAAGCUAAUGAAGAUGUUGAGGUUUUUAAUGAUGAUGAACUGGAAAUCCUAACCAGAAGAGUUCAAUAACUAUGGAAGCAAAGACGUCGAUCUCCUAGAAAAGGUGAUUUUUCCUCCAGGGGUUGAAGCUUCAGAGAGAAUAUGGAAGAACCAAAAAACUACUUUCACUACAAGAGGUCUGGCCACAUCAAAGCUAAUUGUCCAGUUCUUCAAAAUUACAAAUCCAAGAAGGAAAGCUUCAAAAACAAAGUGAAGAAGAGUCUCAUGGUUACAAUGGAAAUGUGACACCCCAUACUAAAUUUAUCUAGAAUAUUUAGCAUGUACAUUAACUUAGUAUUUGAUACAUUAAAAUUAUAGCAGAAUUUCUUUCGAAUGAAUAUAUAAAUCAAUACAAGUCCGUACAUAUGAUGAAAGCCAACUAUCAAAUACAUAUAUAUGAUACAUAUUUGAAAUUCAUGAGAAAUAAUCUAAAACUGGUAUGAAACGAGCAUUUAACGAUAACUCAUUCAGUUGCAUAUAUGCCUCUUUUUCCUACGAGCAACCUGCGGAUCUGUAAAAUAAAUAUAGAUGGGGGUGAGACAUUAUGUCUUAGUGAGUUCCACCUAUCCUAGGUUUUAGGCAAUCUCGGGGAAACCUAUGAUCGCCAUCUGUCUAAACUCAACCCGUUUGGGUUCAUACAAUUUUGUUCUACAUAACCGAACAAUCAGGGGAAAACUAGGGUCUUUAUAUGUGUUCUAUCAUAAGUCUGAUCUUAAGUAUAGCAUAUUCGUAUUCUGUUUACAUAUUAAUUUUAGAAGGUUAGCGUUGAACAAUCAAAUUAUAAUCUGAGUGCAUUUUCUGGAGUGGAUCCCUAUGGGAGUAACCCUAGUCACCAUCCCAUUGCUAUUAGGUGAAAACGCAUAUCUAAGGCUAAUCACCGGAACUCCUUUGACUACGUAUGGUUUACCAUAUAUGAUAAACCCAUCCAGCGGAACCUGGAGCCUUCUGAGGGACACAACUUAUUUAUUAUUAUAUUUCUCUAACAUAUAUCUGAUAUGCCUUCUAAUCAUGUGCAUAUCUGAUGCAUGUUGCUAAUUGGAUUCACAUAUUGUUGUUCUAUGCAUAUAUCUAAUAUGCCUUUGGUUACAUCAAUAACAUAGCUAUUCUUGACUAUCUAACUCGAGUCUCUAUUAGGUUCCCGUUUCUAAGGGUUAGACUCCUACCCAUGCAUUUUCAUAUCUACAUAUAUAAGUUAAAACUCUCGUGCAUUAUGCAACAAUAAACCUAUGUCUUACUUGCUUCACAUUUAUUAUUUUAAAAGAAAGUCUUUCCGGAAGUGCAAAUAGGUCUCUGUGCAUGAACUGUUCAUUUAAAGAAAAUAGUGAAAGUUUGAUGUACAUGACAGCUCGCUUGGCGGGCAUUUGCUCGUUUGGCGAAGCCAACAACUGAGAGGCUCGCUUGGAGAGCUAACACCUCCCCAUUGUGAGCUUAGUUAGAAGCCAAGCUUGUCUUGAUCGCUUUGGCAAGCUCUAGCUCGCUUCAGCAAGCAUGACAGGACAACAUACCUGCAAAAUCAUGUUUCUAAGUUCAAAAUGCAUACCCAAACACCCAAAAGGGGUAUGCAGUUCUAGAAGGCAUAUAAUUAGUGAGAUUUCUAUUUAUAAAGCAAGAAUAAUAGGUUAUCAAUUCCAAUACACAAAAAGGGCAACUAAUUCAUAAUUAAUCUAACAAUUUCAUGUUAUCUCACAUAACACACAACACCCCAUAGGUGGGAGCUAGUGAUGACAGGUCAUCUUACGUUAUUCUUAGCAUGUUUUUCAGUUAUUUUCAAUACAGUUUAGCAACAAAAAGGAGGAGUAUGAGAGAAAUUGCCUAUGAUUUCGGGACUAUUGUAAUGUUUUCCAUAUUUGAUUAUGUAAUUCUAGUUUUCCCGAAACAUAGCAAUUUUAGUGGUUUUUUUUUAAGUAAUUCACAAAGAGAUCAUGCAAAUCGGCAAAUCCAGAACAUCUGAAGAACUCUGACGACUUAGGAAAACCAAGAAUGAAUAUUCAAGAGGCCUCAUAAGACUUACAAAUUGGAGGAAUUCCGUUCCCAAAGUUCCGAGGAAAGUUAUUUGAAGACGAAGACCUAAAACGACGGAAAAUUGGAGAAUUGGGCCCACGAAAUAGACAUCAUUCACCUAGGGCAUGGAAAAAUGCUUAUGGCAUGAAAUUUACAUCUCAUGCGCCCAGUGCAUCAUCCAUGCGCCUAGGGCAUGCAUUUUUCUCUACUAAUAUGCGCCUAGGGUGUUUGUGAUGUGCCUCGUGCAUGCAAAAAUGCAGGGCACAAUUGUUUUAUCAUGCUUCUGUGAUGGGUAAAGCCCGCACUUUAAGCCCAAACCCAGGUAGAAACAAAUCAAAAUUACUCUCACUUCCCCUAAGCUCUACUAGAAUGACACUGACACCCCCUUAAGUUUUUAUCUAAUAUACAAACACAUCCUUUUAAUUUUCUGCUACUAUUUAUUUAUUUUCUUUUUUUUGGAAAUUUUCGUUAAAAUUUCUUUUAUGAAACUUCAACAACACAUAAAAAGUCAGAUUCCAAUCUGUUAAUCAUUGAGCGAAAAACCCUUGUCCACUACUGCUGGUGCAAUUUGCAAUGAAAUUAAGAGAGAGUGGGUACUAAUAAGAACCUUCCAUUGAAUAACAUUCACUGAAACUAGUAACAAAACUACUGAUCUACAUAAUUCCAACUUGCUUCAAAAACAAUGAAAAGCCACACUCUAAAACACAUAAACUCAACAAAGUUUCAGUAACUUUUACUUCCAUCUUCAAUGCUACAUCAAACCAUCGAAUUCAAUCACAACACAUAAAGGUCAGAUUCUAUUCCGUUUAACCAAAAAUUUCUUCCAUCGCCAAAAUAAUUUGAUGUGUGCAUUUGUUGAUAAAUUGUGGUGGAAAAAGAAGUGCACUUUUGUUGAAUGUUUGAUCCAGACCAGUGCUCAUGUUUGGACUUAGUUGAUGACAUUAGUGGAUUGACUAUCGAUGGUUGAUUUACAAUGCGGGUUUAUCUAUUGCCAUUCCAAUUAAAUAUUAAAGGAAAAUUCUCUCUCAAAACAAAAGUUAACGGAAAAUUAUGGGUGUUAAUAGAGAAGUGAGGUCCUUGACUACAUGAUGAUAACUUAGCAGGGUUUAUGUAAUGUUUUAAACUAGAGAAGAGAUCAACAUCCUUUUAAUUGAUCUACUGAAAAGUGAGCAUAAUUUUCCCUAUCUGAGGUGAAUGAAGAGUAGCUGGUAGCCACAAUAUUCGGGUGCUUCAGAAUGUCUUGGACACGCCCGUAUUGCCUCUUCAUCCAUUAUGGCAAGUGACGACACAUUGUCCCUUUGCUAACAAUAAUCCAACCAGAGUACCAAUAUAUAUCUGCUAAUGGCACAACAUCCCGAUGAUCAGUGUAUGAGCUGAAUAUGACGUCCUCCACCUCCAGCCAAUCUAGGAUGCCUCGAUAGUGACUCACUGAAGUGUGGCCCCUUUUCGAAACAAAACAGUUGGCACGUGGGAACUGAAGUGUUCCAAAAACCCAUGCCUACAAAUAUAAACAAACAAACUUAUUACGGCAAAUACAUUUAUAUACAUCAACACACACACACACACACACACAUAUAUAUAUAUAUAUAUAUAUAUAUAUAUAUAUAUAUAUACAUUUUUAAAAACACAUUUAUAGUACAAUAUACAACAAAUUAAAUUACUACCUCAAGUAAAGACGAGUAUCCGCCAAUGGAGACCUUCUCGGGGUCGAUAGCCUUAGAAAGCUGGUUGUAGAGAUUAACCUAUCACAUCCCACCUCAUAACCACUCAUGCACCCUGCUGAAAUUCUGCAUUCCUUCAAGCCAUAUCAUCUUAAUGUGUUUGUUUCUCUUACCGUAGAGAAUGGUGCAUCAAACCAAGAACAACAUGAAAACCCUCAAGCAAUAAUCAUGUGUGAGGUCUUUCUCCGCCUCCUCUUCAUAAUCAGUCGGCUCCUACAAGUCAUUGUCUUGACUAAGGUAUUUCAUGAAUAACUUCUCCAGCCAAGAAAUACCAACAUAGCCACUUCAUUGUGCGUAUGUUUGAGAAAUCGCCUUCUCCUCAGUUACACCCAACAAAUUCGUUAAAAUCUCAAUACCAUACUCAUAAGUAAUCUAGUCGGUGUGUCUUGUCAGCUUCCCUUCGAUGGCAAUGUAUAGUAGACACGUCACAUCAUUGAGUGUUACAACCAUCUCCCCCAACAGGUAAAGGGAAGAUGUUGGUUUUUUUAUGCCACCUCUUAGACAAUGCGGUCAUAAGGGCACUAUUGAUGCUAGCAAACCUGAUCUAAAGUAGUGGUGCAAGAUCGGAUGCAUUAAGUCUACUCCAUAGCUGAUAUGAAGUUUAUGCUGGGAUCUCCAAUUUUCCGGUCUUAAUCUUCCUCGCAUGUGAUAUAGCCUUUACAUAAUGUGUCAUCUUAAACUGAAAUAGAAAACAUAAAACAAACCAUUAAAAAUACAAACAUUUGAAUAAUUAAAAAACUAAACGUUUCAAUAUAACAUUUUAACCAUUAAAAAUAUAAUAAUUAAAUUAAACAUUUUAAUCAUUAAAAACAAACAAUUAGAAUUACUUCGAUGUCGCUCCAAAGCUUGUAGGUGACAUUCCCAACAAAUGACGAUAAAAGUGACAAGUCAGCAGGGCCCUCGGUAAAAGAAUUUUGUGCGGGUGGAGCUUUCUAGCCUCCUCUGCAUGGUGUAACACCACAAACUGGUAAGGCUGCUCGUAGUGCUUCUCAGGCUGCACGUAGCACCCCUAAGCAGCGUGGUAGUACUAGUCAUCCUUAUAGUGUUGGCUAGGGUGCACUAUAUGGGACGCACCCGUCUGAGACGUCCCCUCGUGCCUCUCCUACGUCCACGUCCCUUAUUAGUAACAAGGUUCUCCGCCACCCUCUCUCUACAUGCAUUGUCCGUCAUUGUGUCUUUGCAAAGUCGGUGCCUAUUUUGAUUGUCAUACAUAUCUACACGACAUAAAACAAUGAAAAAAUCAAUCAAUUUUUCAUUGAGACAUUUAUCAAACACUUGGAGUUCAAUCUCUAUAUUAUGAGUUCAUUGUGUUAUUUCAAUCUCUAAACUACCAUACUGGAGUGAAACUUACUCUAAUCAACAUCCAAAGUCCAAUUUCCAACUUAUUUGAUCAUUAACAUGCAAAAAAAACCUACAUUUCAUAUACCCUAAAAAACAUUUAUAAAAAAAAUCUUACAUUUUUUUUUUUUUUUUUAUAAAAAAAGGACCAAUGCAAAAUGAUACUUACAAGUAGUUGAUUUGCUAAAGUUGAAGUUGAAAUUAGAUUUUCUUGCAUUGAGAGGGAGAAAUUCAUUUUUUGUUUUUUUGCCUUUUGGAAGUAUGGCAGAACCAGUGGCGGAGCCAGGAAUAUUGUAAAGCCCGGGCAAAAAAAAAUUUGCAACACAUUUAUAGGGAGUACAUAAGAAAUUGCAAGCAAAUAAUAAAAAAUGUAAAGAAAUUGCCCAAUUUAUAGGGGUUUAUAUAAGAAAUUCAUAGGGAUUUACACAAGAAAUUGCAAAAACUUUGGCCCGGAACCCGGGCGAGUGCCCGGGAUCGCCGGGCCUUAGAACCGCCCCUGGGCAGAACUGCUGCUAUUUUGGAAUAAAUUAAAACUUAAUGGCAGUUAACUACCGUUUAUGUCAAUAGAGAAAUUUUUAGAUGUAAAUGAACAAUUUUGUAAAUGAAAAGAGAAAAUUCCGAAGAUACGAAAAGAGUGAAUAGUAAAAUGCGACAUGUAUAGAAAACAAGUCUUAUUUGUAUAUUUUGUCCAAAAAAAAUUAUUAUUUGUACAUUAAGAACGAUAUUAAUACGAUUAUUUUGUGAUAAAUUUUAAGGAAUAUUUUUUUUUUGGUAGAUGAUAUUUAUAUGUCCUCAUAAGCAUAGCUCACUUGGUAAAGACAAUGUAUAAAAUAUGCAAGGUCCGAGGUUCAAACUUCGGCCACCACAAAAAAAGAUGAUAUUUAUACAAUUUUUUUUUUGAACGGCGUGAUAUUCAUACAAUGUUUCUCUCUAUUUUUUUUUUUUUUGGUAGAUAGACGAAAUGACAAAGUCAUUAUAAACUCACACACACAACACAAGUGGAAGGUACCGAGGUUCGAACCCCGAUCAUGGCAUACGGCCUAACAAUUUUGGCAUUUUACCAGUUGAGUUAGGACUUCUGCAUAUGUUUCUCUCUUUUUAAUGUCAAGAAACAAGAGAGAAAUAAUAUAUAAAAAAGUUGAUUAAAAUUUUCAUGGUCGUAUAACUUAAUAUCUAUUGAUAUAAAUAUAGUAAUUGUGAAAGAAAAAGAAGAAAGUCAUAUAUGACAUUGUGGUUGGCCAAGGUCACCAACCACAAUGUCACCCAAUACUACACAGAUUCUAGAGCCCGGCACGGCCUGCGUUGGGCAUGGGCCAGCCCGGCCCGACCCGUUUUAGUCUUAUGUUUUAAAUUUAAUCACUCUUUUUUAUGUAUUUUUUAUGUAUUAAUUACUCACAACUAUUUUUUUGCUAAAAUAUGAUUGGAUGAACAUAAAAAUGUAAACAAUUUUUACAUUAACGUUGAAUAAUAGUUAAACUCUAGAUUAUUACUUCAAUUAAAUCAAAUUAAUAAUUUAUAAAAUUUAAAAUUUUAAAACUUUAAGCUAAAUUCAUUCAUACUUAUUAAGUUUAUUUAUUUAACAUUUUUUUUAUUAAUAAAUUUUAAAUUAGUUGAUAAUUUUUUAAAAAAUAUACUAUUUUUUUAACAAAAAUCAAAUGAAAUAUGAGCUAAUGAGCCGACCCAAAGCCUGAUGAACCAGUCUGGUCUGGCCCAACUUUUGUAUGAGCCAAAUGGGUUUGGGCUAAAAAAAACCCCAAGUACAUUUUUGGGCUAGUUUUUUAGGCCCAACCCAACCCAAAAACAUGGGCCAAUGUGCCGGCCUAUUAGGCCAGUCCAUUUUUGACAGCUCUACUUCCAUCUAUCUCUCUAGUUAAGUCACAUAAGUAAAAUCUGACAAGGAAGAUGACCUACUUCCAUGGUUCUUUAUUUCAUGCAUUGAAAAUGCACAGUUUGGAUGGCACAGCGAACUUAGUUAGUUGGAUGGUAAAAUCUAGGAGCAUAACUUAAUUUCAAUAAUUUAAUUUUCAAAAUGCUGCAUUUGGAUGAACCAUUGGUUAUAACGCCCACACUCCAAAUUUCAACCUCAAAGAAAUAAACAAAAAUGUUGCACCCAUUUUCAUUUCGUUGCUCCAACCAUGCUUCUACCACACCGUUUCCUUCCUUAUUACUCCUCAAUACUACGUCGUUUCACCUCGCAGGUAAAUCUCCCACUUUCCCGUUUCUUCGCCGGCCGUUCAAUCCACCGGCGCUCCGGUCAGUUCACCAUGUGAGAGCUGUUUCGUCUUUACCACUCUUUGAUUUCAGCGGAGGCAAAGGGUAUGUACAUCUAAUUUCUCCUGAAAACCCUUGUUUACGCUUUAUUGUUAAUUUAUUUGUUGUUAUUUUUCUUUCACUGAUGUUGAAGUUGGGAAUAAUUCUUUGGUGGACCACUCAAGUGGUCUUAAAUGCAAUAUAUCCAGAGCUCAAGUGGUUAAUAAACUCUACUCAAGUUUGGUCAGACUUGACAAGAUCCUUUCUUGAGAACAGGGUCGGCCUAAGGUUAAGGUCACUAAAGUUCUAGCUUUAGGUCUACGAACAAAAGUAUAUUUUUAAUUAAAUUAAAGUAAAAAGGCCUCGUAUGCAGACAAAAUGUCUAAAAACUUGUUUUAGGCCUCACUUACUAUUGAAGAUUAUUGGGCCGGUCAUGUCGGGGAUCCCCUUUCCCUGGGAACUAGUUUGCUAACAAAAAUAUAUUUGAUAUCUCAACCUACAAUUUAUUUGAUCUAUAAAGCACAAUACUGACAUGGAUAUCGGACAUGACAUAUAUGCUGACAUGUCGACACCGCUAAUAAUUUGAUAAAAUCACAUAAUUUAGUGUUAUCAUAUGUGUCGGUGUUGGACAUCAAUGCGUGUCCAACACUGGGACACGCCUAAUCCGAUGAGCAUCCGUGCUUCGUAAUAUUUGAUGGCUGGUAGUAUAUGUUAUCUUGAGCAUAACAAAAUAGGACCAGUAGAACUCAUGUUUUGGCAUGCUCAACGGAAUAUACAUGUGUUGUAUCAUUUUGUUGUGCUUUGUUUUCUGUGGAAUUGUUGUAACAAUAGACGUGAGAUAGAUUGAGGAAAGAAGUAGUUUUGUAUCGGAUUGUUGUAUGGACUGGACUGGUUUGGCACACCUUAUGCUGUUAGAUAUAAUCUAAUUUACCAGUUAAUAUAACUUUUCCUUUGCCAAAUAAUAAAAUAAAAUGUGAUGGGUUAAAUACAGUUUCGUCCCCCUAUUUUACCUCAUUCACAAUUUUCGUCCCUCAUUUAUAAAUUCAGUAUCUUGGUAACCAAGUUGUCAAAGUACUUCGGUCUCGCUCAAAAAAAAAAAAAAGUACUUCGGUCUGAAUUUUAAUCAUAUGGCACACGAGAUGUUUAUUGGCUUUUUUUAAGAACAUUUUGACAAUUUUUCUCAACUAUGCAUCUCUCUUGCCACAUCAUCGAAUUCAGUCUCAAAUGCAUAUGUGAAGAUGUUAAUUGUUCUGAAAACUGGGGAAUCAAAAUUGUGUAUCUAAAAUAUGGGGACCGAAAUUGAUGAUGAGAUAAAAUAGUGAGAUCGGCAAUGUAUUUAAGCCUUAUAUUGAUUAAUCUUUGUUAUCCUCUCCCUCCAUCUCAUGUUACAAGUUGUUUAUAGUUUAACACAUGAACAUUAGGAAAAGUAUUAUAGACUUUUCUAAAUUGUCAUUUGUAAGAGUAUCAAAGAGAUAUUGAACAUGGCUAAGGGUAUAAUAGAAAAGAAACAGUUAAAUUUCAAUUUGCUUCUCUGUAUAUAGAAUAGUUUGAGCAGUUCGGGUAGGCUUAUUUAUUUCUAGUUAGACAGCAUUGUAUUUUAUACAUUUAAUCUGUAUUAUAUUUUUACUGAAAUCAUUGAAAUGGAGAUGUAAAUUUGUUCAUUCGUGAGAUCAUAUAUAAUAUUCUUCUUGCCAGCUGAGACUUUGUAAUAUCAAAGGCUGUUUAUACUCAUUUGCCUUUGUCAUUUUGCAGCAUGAGUGGGUUCUGUGAUGUUGAACUAAAAGUUCGCGAUUAUGAAUUGGAUCAGUUUGGUGUGGUCAACAAUUCUGUUUAUGCAGGUUAUUGCCAACAUGGUGAGACCGUAUGAGCUAUUACGUGUAGAUUUUCAGUACCAAAAAUUGUUACUUUAAUCUCUCUAGAUCACUUUUUCUAGACGAUGUUUUUAGAAAACUAUUUUAUAAGUAUAUCUCUUGUAAUUGAUAUAUAAAAUUGAAAACAGAUGUUAAUUUUGAACUGUUUAGAAAUCUAAAAUGAAAACUAAAGUUUGACAUGACAUGAUUAGGACAGAAGUGCUGUGGUAAUUUGAUGACUUUAGGAUAAAAAUAUUGUUUAGAGUCAGUGUCUUUAAUCUCUUUCUGUAGGGAAAAAAUCUAUAGUUUGAUUUAUACUCUUGAGUUGAUGACUUGAGUUUACAGUUGCAGUCCAUAUUAAAAUUUACCUGUGUUAAGAGUAUCCAUUUAGUAAGCAACAAAACCAGAAUCGACUUUGUUUUAUCAUGAUUAAACAAAGUUAUAGACUCAAUGAUCAUAUCAAGAAGAAAAUGUGAUUGGUCUAAACCUUGAUUAAAAGGUGUUAUUCACAAUACUCGGCUUAUUAUGGUUUUGUGCUUGCGGUAAUGUCUUAAACUUUGGAUUUUGGAGGGUGAUAUCAAAACUUUUCUGUGCAAACUUUCAUGCAAUCUAACAGUUAUCGACAUGGCUAGCAUCUUUUUGUCCUUUAGGUGUUGUACACAUGGUGUUUUCAUAUUUGAUCCUGGUUUAUUUGGUCCUUUUUGAUUGUUGGGAUCAGGAGGGGUAGCCCUUAAAGGAUCCUUAAUUGAAAUAUGUUAGAUUAAUUAUUUGUAAAAAUUUUAAUGUAUCGUUCUGAAUUUUGUAGCAAUUAAAAGCUAUACUUUGUUUCUUCCACGCAUAAACCUGAUUGUUUAUAUGCAAAUACCUUCAUAAGGUCGUCAUGAAUUUUUGGAAAGCAUAGGCAUUAAUUGUGAUGCCGUGGCUCGCUGUGGUGAUGCAUUGGCAUUGUCUGAACUAUCCUUCAAAUUCCUUGCACCUCUAAGAGUAAGUCAUGCAGAAUUUAUCGGCCAUUUGUGUUUGUUAGGUAUAAUCUCCUGAUACAAUGUAGUACUGUUAAAGGAUAUGACAUAUUUUUGCCAAUGUUUGUUCUGAUUUUAAAAAACAUGCAACCAGAGUGGAGACAGAUUUGUCGUAAAAGUUAGAGUUUCUGGCUCUUCAGCUGCACGCAUAUACUUCGAUCACUUCAUCUAUAAGCUACCAAACCAAGAGGUCCUUUUCUAUCCCUUAUAGUUCACUCUUUUUUUUUUUACCAUCUUCAAAAAUGUUUCUUGAUAUUGGUGUAUUUGAAUGACAGCCUAUUUUGGAAGCCAAGGCCACAGCAGUGUGGCUUGACAAAAACUAUCGUCCUAUUCGAAUUCCGGCAGAUAUUAAGUCUAAAUUUGUUAAAUUUAUUCGCAAUGAAGACUCGUGAUGCAUAUUUCAGAUGAACAUUUGAUUGAUUGAUCAUUGCAAAAGUUAACUGUUUUUGUACUUGCCUUAAACUUGUCAUGUGUAUAGGCAAGGAGGUAGCGGUACUGUAGCACCGGGUAGCACCAUUCUAUAAUGCAGAGUCCAGUAAUAUUAAAGAAUCAAAGGCCUACUGUAAACCAAGAAAAAUACUCUUCUCACUUAUGAAAUUGCUCAUUCCCUUAUAUCAGCGACAGUUAACCGUCGCUGAUAUAAGAGAAUGAACAAUUUUGAAAGGGACAAGAGCAAUUUUCGUAAACCAAAUUCUAGCAAUACUAAACAAUUUAGUUAUAGCAGUAUAGGGACUUUUGCCUCUUCUUAGUUUAUGUGAAAUACCUUCAUAAGGUCGUCAUAAGAAAUUGCUUAGUUUCUUAUGCUGUUGAGAAAUUUCUUGGAGGUAUUCAUGUGAAGUUGUUGAAUUUUUUUUUGACAAUGUGAAAUUAAAUUCAAAAUUUAAACUUUAUAUACUAAAGAAUGUGCUUUAGCUUCAAAUAUGGCGGCUUUUAAAGUUAGCUACUUGAAGUCCAGUUGUUGGAACAAUGAUUUAUUUAUUUAUAAACAAAUAGAAACUACAAUGUUUGUCAUAUAUUGUGUAAUUGUUUUCUAAAUGAGUCAAGUAAUCAUCUACCCCAUAUAAUUUUUUUAUUUGACAAGUUUAUUAUAUUGGUAGUAUUCGGUAAGAUGUGUCUUUUAAGUUAGAGUUUUAGAAUACAUUAUGAUAAAUGGUUGGUGUUGAAUAUAAAAUUAAAUUGUACAAGAAAUAUUAUGAUUGCAUCAUACUGAUACAUGGUUCAUAACCACACCAUAUUUUAAAUCAGUUUUCUUUACAUGUUGUAAGUCUAUUUUACAUGUAAAUGAAUAUUUUUUAACUUCUAAAACAUAAAAAAAUUAAGGGUCUGAUACACACAAUGCAAUAAUGUGGAGUCUAAAACUGCAGCUAAAACUAUAGUUAUAGUUCGUUUACCACAGAUACUUUUGACUUGACUAUUGUUGUUGCUCUAUGCCUAGAAGUCUUGCAGCAUACUAUACUUUCAAUUCUCUGUUUAAAACUGAAAUUUUGGCACGUACAGAAAGUUGUCGAACAUGAUGUCAGGACAAGCAGAAUGUCGAGAAGGAAAACAUCAUGACAACACAAGAUAACAAAUAGCAACUUAAAGAUAAAAGCUGAAAGUAAAUGACACAAGUUAUUUGUUAACCCAGUUCAGUGCAAUGUCACUUACAUCCGAGGCUACCAAGUCAGGAAGAAAAUCCAUUAUAAUAGUAUUAGUUUGAAGCUUGCAUAAACAACCUCAAAUCUACUAGCUUUGCACCUAAUCACUACCCGUGUAAUUUCUAUCUAAGACUCUCCUAGAUAUGAAACCUCUCUCACUUCCCCUCAAUCACUCACCAGUGAUAAUCAAAUACAAUGAAAAUGGAGACACACUCCGCGAAACAGAAUUCACUCUAGCUUAACAAAAUGCGGCCAACUAUAGUCUACAAACCUAACAAAAACCAUUGCUAUUAGUUCUCGUCAUUAAGCAUUUUCUAUCAAAUCUUACUUAGUGCAGAACAAGUUUUAAUAGUUCAUUCUUAAGAAAAAGAAAACGGGUUACAAAGUAGUAUAAUAUCCAUGUAUAUGCAGAGUUUUCUUGAUACACAUUAGAAUACUUCAAAAUUAACUGAUAAAUAAACACAGUUAAAUGAAGACAACCUUAUGAGUUAUCUCGGACAGUAGAAACUGGGGUUUAUUAAAUUUAAAAACCAAUAGGUCAAUGCAAUUAUAGGCAUGGACGCAUGGUUAUUUUUCUACCUAAAUAAUUAUCUGGUAAUUGAUUGCCUAAAAAAGAAAUCAUAUGUUGAUUGAAAGUGAUACAAUUAUUUAUUACCUAAUCAACAUAACAAACAAAGCCAAUGACUUGGAGCAUCUCUCGUGAAGAAAUUUUCUUCCUUUUGUUUACACAUAACAACCUUCAAGUUGUAUUAUUCAAGUGACUCAAGAAUCAAAAAUAGUCUUCGUCAAAAAAGUUAUAAUAAAAAAUAUGCAAUCAUACUUGUAUUGCGUCUAUAAAAUUAUUUGCUUUACUCAAGAGAAACUACAAAGUUUCAACAAAAGUCAUUGAAACUAAGUUUUUUUUUUUUUUUUUUACGUGUAAUGUCAACAAUCUAUCCACCACCAUCACAGAAUACACCUUUGCCUCCUGACGGGACUGUGCCGGUGCCUUGGUCAUGGAGUCCGCCUAUGCCCACAUGGCCACCACCCAUAUCAUCAAAUGGGUUAGCAUCCGAUGAUUCUUCUUCUUCAUCUUCAUCAACAUCAACAUUUGGUAUCGGUGUUGGUGUCGCUGUUGGGGUCCUCGGGGUUAUUUUGUUGUUUGCGAUUUGGCACAAGUAUCUUAGGAAGAAGAGUUGUUGUUCUUCAAGUUCAAAGUGUUAAAUGACUUUGAAUUUCAUCCUUAAAACGAGCUUCAAAUUCAAAAGUCUUGGAAUAUGAGCAAUGUGUGACCAAAAUGUAACUUCAAUUCAAUACAAAAGUGAAUAAUCCUUGGAACUUAUAAACAUUUUUAUUUUAGUGUGCACUUUUCAUUCAUUACAAUAGCAUAUGCUUGUGCGUAUCGAGAUUUGGAUUAUUCAUGUGUAUUGCAAAAUUCUACUUGAAUUUUUUUAAAGUUGAAACGUUUACUGUAUAUCAUUCAAGCAUUCUACGAUAUUGGAUUGCUCAUGUCUCAUAGCAUGAAAGUGAGAAUACUUUAAUUUACCAAGUAUUCGUGUUUCUCAAACUUUCAAUGUUUAACCUUUAAAUUCAAACUUUCCAAAAAAAUAUAAAGUCUACCAAUUAGUAGUAGUAAUUAAUUAUACAAUUAUAAGUCAGAGAAAAAAAUUGUCUUGCCUAAUUUGGGAUAGUGGGAGUAAUAAAUAAUAUGUUAAAUUACUCUUUUAAUCCCUUAUUUAAUUUCAUAUAAUACUUUGAUCUUUUAUCUUUUUUUCAUUUCAAUUUUGUCAUCUAAUUCAUUUACAUAUGAAUUUUCAAAUUUCAAAUUCAUAGUUUUAUUUUCUUAUGACCUUUCAAUCUUUAAAUCUAUGGUCUUCAUCUAUGUUUACAUAAGAA